rnacentral:rRNA from 1 species
GACGUAGGGGGCAAGCGUUGUCCGGAAUCAUUGGGCGUAAAGAGCGCGUAGGCGGCCCGGUAAGUCCGCUGUGAAAGUCAAGGGCUCAACCCUUGAAUGCCGGUGGAUACUGUCGGGCUAGAGUCCGGAAGAGGCGAGUGGAAUUCCUGGUGUAGCGGUGAAAUGCGCAGAUAUCAGGAAGAACACCGGCGGCGAAGGCAGCUCGCUGGGACGGUACUGACGCUGAGGCGCGAAAGCGUGGGGAGCGAACAGG